rnacentral:rRNA from 1 species
UACGUAGGUGGCGAGCGUUGUCCGGAUUUACUGGGCGUAAAGGGAGCGUAGGCGGAUUUUUAAGUGAGAUGUGAGAUACUCGGGCUCAACUUGAGUGCUGCAUUUCAAACUGGAAGUCUAGAGUGCAGGAGAGGAGAAUGGAAUUCCUAGUGUAGCGGUGAAAUGCGUAGAGAUUAGGAAGAACACCAGUGGCGAAGGCGAUUCUCUGGACUGUAACUGACGCUGAGGCUCGAAAGCGUGGGGAGCAAACAGG